rnacentral:rRNA from 1 species
UACGGAGGGUGCAAGCGUUAUCCGGAUUCCCUGGGUUUAACGGGUGCGUAGGUGGGCAGGUAAGUCAGUGGUGAAAUCUCCGGGCUUAACCCGGAAACUGCCGUUGAUACUAUCUGUCUUGAAUAUCGUGGAGAUGAGCGGAAUAUGUCAUGUAGCGGUGAAAUACUUAGAUAUGACAUAGAACACCGAUUGCGAAGGCAGCUCGUUACACGGUUAUUGACACUGAGGCACGAAAGCGUGGGGAUCAAACAGA